rnacentral:rRNA from 1 species
UUUAAAGAGAGUUUGAUCCUGGCUCAGGACGAACGCUGGCGGCGUGCCUAAUACAUGCAAGUCGAACGAACGGAGGAAGAGCUUGCUCUUCCAAUGUUAGUGGCGGACGGGUGAGUAACACGUGGGCAACCUGCCUGUAAGUUGGGGAUAACUCCGGGAAACC